rnacentral:lncRNA from 1 species
AAAAGGUUAUCAUAGAGAAAAACAGAAACCUGCACCUGCAGUAUUCAAUAUAGGCACAAGUGAGCUGUGGGGAAAAAAGUGAAUAGGAAAAUGAGAACUUGCUGAAGGCCAUGAAGUGGUAUGGUGAAUGGCUGGGUGGUAAAGUGGCGGAUGAAAUUUUACUUUAAUAAAUGCAAAUAAUAGACAUGGGAAAAGGCAAUAAUCUUAAGUAUACAUGAAGGACUCUUAUUAGUUAUUGCCACUCAGAAAAGACAACUUGGUAUUGUAGGUGGUUCUCUGGAAGCAUAAUUUUAAUGCUCUGCCACAGUCACAAAGCAGCAAGCAGAAUGGUUAGCUUUAUUGGGAAAGGAACAGAAAACAUUGCUAUGACCCUACACAACUCUGGGAUGUCUAUGUCUCAGAAUCUGUGUGCGUUUAUAUAAGGAGAAGGGUGGUGAAGCCCAGGCUAUUAGAGAAAAUGUGGUGCAGGCAAGGAGUAUGUUAAGCAUUUAUCAAACUUGAGAGGGGGAAGAAAAGAAAAAGGAAAGUAGGAGGACUUGCCAAGUUCCUGGAAAGGACUUUCCACUUGUCUGGAGCUUACUGACUUCGAUGUAUCUGGAUUGUUCUUUUCUACUUACCAGUUCAUCAGCAAGGAAAAAAACCACUACAUUCCAAAUUUACGUUAAAGUUAAGAACUGGCUACGUAAAUUUGCAAGGCACUGAACUUCUCAGUUUUCUUGGAGACCAGAAUCAUACUUCCACAUCUGGAAAUUGGGCAGAAAGUAGGUAUUUUACUAACAACAAACAAAUUAGGAUGGGAAGUCAAUAUGAGGUUUUCAGUAAAUAUUUCAGAGCAUCUGAAAUGUUUGAAAUAUCUGAAGCCUCACAGAACAGGAAUUGCUUACCUCUUGAAGUGACGGAUAUUUGAAUCAGUGAGCUGAUCACUUGAUAAAAGAACUGCAGCUCAAAUUACAUCUAGGGAGGGAUAUACACCCAGAUAACCUUUGCCAGCUGACACAUCUCAGUAUGGAUUCAGGACUUACUUUCUGUGAUUCCACUCCCAGCUUUCACUGAACUCUGCCAUGCUACUGUGGCUUUUAACAUCUAACCCGCUAUAUCAGUCCUUGCUGAAGGCCAUCUGUCAGCCAGUGGGCAUAAAAGAUCUAAACCUUCUUGCUACAAAAGAAUCUUGAUUUUUUUU